rnacentral:pre_miRNA from 1 species
CAACUACUCCCUCUGUCCCAAAUUUCUUGUCUUAGAUUUGUCUAGAUACGGAUGUAUCUAAUACUAAAAUGUGACUUGAUACAUCCGUAUCUAGACAAAUCUAAGANGAUGUAUCUAAUACUAAAAUGUGACUUGAUACAUCCGUAUCUAGACAAAUCUAAGACAAGAAUUUUGGGACGGAGGGAGUACUUU